UAGGGAAUCUUCCGCAAUGGACGCAAGUCUGACGGAGCAACGCCGCGUGAGUGAAGAAGGAUUUCGGUUCGUAAAACUCUGUUGUUAGAGAAGAACAGCGCAUAGAGUAACUGUUAUGCGUGUGACGGUAUCUAACCAGAAAGCCACGGCUAACUACGUGCCAGCAGCCGCGGUAAUACGUAGGUGGCAAGCGUUGUCCGGAUUUAUUGGGCGUAAAGCGAGCGCAGGCGGUCAAUUAAGUCUGAUGUGAAAGCCCCCGGCUCAACCGGGGAGGGUCAUUUGAAACUGGUUGACUUGAGUGCAGAAGAGGGGAGUGGAAUUCCAUGUGUAGCGGUGAAAUGCGUAGAUAUAUGGAGGAACAACAGUGGCGAAGGCGAAUCUCUGGUCUGUAACUGACGCGGAGGUUCGAAAGCGUGGGUAGCAAACAGG
rnacentral:rRNA from 1 species